GCGUGGAGUUCUGGGAGACGCGGUCCUCUGAUGCACAGUGCACGCGGGGACCUCUGGGAGAUGGAGUCUGAAGCAGGAGACCACAGUGCAUUCUGGGAGACGCGGUCCUCUGAUAUUUUUUUUGAGAGGCAGCAAGACUGAUAGACAGAACUCUCAUGCACUGGUUCAUGCACCAAGCACCUGCAACAGACAGGCUUCGGCCAGGCCAAAGCCAGGAGCUGGAAGUUCAAUCCAGGUCUCCCACACCCAAGUAUUGGAUCCCUUCUGAGAGUCUGCAUUAGCUGGAAGCUGGAAUUAGGAGCAGAGACAAGACUUCAACCCAGGCGCUCUGGAAAUCAGCUACAUUUGUUGCUGUGGAUUCAUUCUGAGAGGAGGAGCAUGGUGGGGGCAAGAGGCGUGGAGUCACCACACAGACCCCGGGAGUCAGGUGAAAGCAGGCCAGAGUUCUUUGCUAUUGCCUUGGAAAGCAGUAGAAGAUGGUCCAAGUCUUUGGAGCCCUGAACCCACGUGGGAGACUCAGAAGAAGCUCCUGGCUCCUGGCUUCAGAUUGAUGCAGCUCCAGCCAUGGCAGCCAAUUGGGGAAUGAACCAGUGGAUGGAAGACCUCUGCCUCUCUGCCUCUUCUUCUCUCUCUGUGUUAUUUUCAAAAAAUAAAUAAAUAAAAAGAAAAUGCUAGGUGGGAAAACAUGAAAAAUGACUACAUAUCAGGCACUAAGAUCAGAGAACACCAUUUCAAGACAAACCUCAAAAGCAAGUAAUCAACUAUUUCUAAGAAAACAGAGCUUGUAAAGGUUCCUCUGGCAUUUUUGCAAAGGAAUACAGAGUUUAAAAUAAAGGCGGGCAUAAAUAAGCUUUAGGAAGAUAAGCUGACAAGUUUUCCUUCAAAAGAAUCUGCUGAAGCCAAGAAAAUGGUCAUAUUAGAAACAGAUUAUUUGAGAGGAUAGUUGACACCUGUAUUUUUCUAAGAAAGUCAAUCAUUAGAGAUGAAAUGGUCAAAUAUCAGAGAAAGUAAGACUGUGUGGUGAUAGAAAUAAAUACUAAAGUGCUCUUUAGACUCGGAGCUUCUACACAGAACAAAUAGUUAAGGGUGGGUCUGGGGGCUUACGAUGGCCCCCACACAAUCCAGUGAAUGUAACUGUUGUGCAGGACAGAGAAACACAGACAGAGUAGUGGUCUCAACAUGGGAGUCAAAGGGUUUCCUCUGAUCUCUCCAGAGAGUGCAGACAGCACACUGCCAGAGUGAGGUGUUCAAUUGGGAAGAAAGUUCUACAGACAGUUUGUGGGACCAGCGCUGUGGCACAGCACUGUGGCCUGAAGCACUGGCAUCCCAUAUGGAUGCUGGUUCAAAACCUGGCUGCUCCACUUCCAAUCCAGCUCUCUGCUAUGGCCUGGGAAAGCAGUGGAAUAUGGCCCAAGUCCUUGGGUCCCUGCACCCACAUGGGAUUCAUGGAGGAAGCUCCUGGUUCCUGGCUUCAGAUCGGCACAGCUCUGGCUGUUGUGGCCAAUUGGGGAAUGAGCCAUCAGAUGGAAGACCUCUCUCCCCCUCUCUCUGCCUCUCCUCUCCCUGUGUAACUCUGACUUUCAAAUAAAUGAAUAAAUCUUUUAAAAAGAGGGCAGUUGGUUUAGUUCCUUGUCAUUACACACACAUAUAAAUGCUAUUUGAAAUCUCCCUGCCCAUCCAAUAAAAUCCCACAAACAUGAACACAGGCACACAUAUGUCACAUACCCUAGCCCACACUUGAAUAGGCCUGAGCCACACAAAUGGACACACCACAGUGCACAUCUAACACACACACAUACAUGUGCAUAGUAUUUGAUGUGAGUGGGUAUACGCAAACAUAUAUUUCAUAAAGGUACACACACUCAUACACUUAACCUUCACACACAUAGUACACACAGAUGAAGGUACACAUGAAGAUAUACAAUAACAACACUAACAGAGAUUUAUACAUAUGUUAGACAAGCACACACAUCACAAUGCAUGUAUGAACAUUAACAUAUACUCAUGCACAUGUGCACACAGAUACAGACACAGAUGUACAAUCAGAAGGU